rnacentral:misc_RNA from 1 species
AACCUAGCACACCUGCGGUGUGUACCUGCGGAGGGAUCAUCAAUAGUCCUAAACACCACUGUAUGUGAGUUGUGUCACUACACUCACAUCACUCUUGUGUGCACUGUUAUUUGUGUCUUGGUGGACUGGGAGUGUGUUUCAGUGCUGUCAUUACUACUGCAGUUACCGUGGUAGUGUGGCACGCCUCCCAGCCUACCGUUACCAUAUAUCUGACAAACUCAUUGUGAUAUUUUAUCAAGU